UGGGGAAUAUUGGACAAUGGGCGCAAGCCUGAUCCAGCGAUGCCGCGUGUGUGAAGAAGGCCUGCGGGUUGUAAAGCACUUUCAGUGGGGAGAACGAGGCUCUAGCUAAUAUCUAGAGUGGAAGAUGUUACCCACAGAAGAAGCACCGGCUAACUCUGUGCCAGCAGCCGCGGUAAUACAGAGGGUGCAAGCGUUAAUCGAAAUUACUGGGCGUAAAGGGUGCGUAGGUGGUUUGAUAAGUCAGAUGUGAAAGCCCUGGGCUCAACCUGGGAAGUGCAUUUGAAACUAGUAGACUUGAGUAUGGGAGAGGGAAGUGGAAUUCCUGGUGUAGAGGUGAAAUUCGUAGAUAUCAGGAGGAACACCGGUGGCGAAGGCGACUUCCUGGACCAAUACUGACGCUGAGGCGCGAAGGCGUGGGGAGCAAACAGG
rnacentral:rRNA from 1 species